rnacentral:lncRNA from 1 species
UCUCAUCUUUGGCUUCUGAAUUUGGUCCCGGUGUCUUCAUGAAAGUUGUAGAUAUGGAUCUUAGCUUUCAUUAGCACUUGGAAUGACACUAAUUGGACAUCUAGAACUCCAGAUAUGGCUGAAAUACUCCACAUAUGCCAUGUUGAUUUUUCACCAAAAUUCAGCACUGCACUAAAACAAAACGCAAUGUAAAAUUACGACAAAUUCCUACUUAAUCAACGAAAUAAAAACAAAAAA